UACGUAGGUGGCGAGCGUUGUCCGGAUUUACUGGGCGUAAAGAGCGCGCAGGCGGCUGGUCAAGUCCGAUGUGAAAGCUCCCGGCUUAACUGGGAAAUUGCAUCGGAAACUGAUCGGCUGGAAGGUGGGAGAGGGUAGCGGAAUUCCCGGUGUAGUGGUGAAAUGCGUAGAUAUCGGGAGGAACACCAGUGGCGAAAGCGGCUACCUGGCCCAUUCUUGACGCUGAGGAGCGAAAGCCAGGGGAGCAAACGGG
rnacentral:rRNA from 1 species